UCUACGGGCGGCAGCAGUGAGGAAUAUUGGUCAAUGGACGAGAGUCUGAACCAGCCAAGUAGCGUGAAGGAUGACUGCCCUAUGGGUUGUAAACUUCUUUUAUAAAGGAAUAAAACGAGGCACGUGUGCCUUUUUGCAUGUACUUGAAGAAAAAGCAUCGGCUAACUCCGUGCCAGCAGCCGCGGUAAUACGGAGGAUGCGAGGGUUAUCCGGAUUUAUUGGGUUUAAAGGGUGCGUAGGCGGACGGUUAAGUCAGCGGUAAAAGCCCGGGGCUCAAACCCGGCGAGCCGUUGAAACUGGCUGUCUUGAGAUGUCGAGCGGUAUGCGGAAUGCGCAGUGUAGCGGUGAAAUGCUUAGAUAUUGCGCAGAACUCCGAUUGCGAAGGCAGCAUACCGGCGGCGAUCUGACGCUGAGGCACGAAAGCGUGGGUAUCGAACAGGAUUAGAUACCCCAGUAGUC
rnacentral:rRNA from 1 species